CAGGACCUUGGUAUGCUGAGCACCGGUCCCCUGGGCCCACUGUUGUUUUCUCACGUUUUCUCACCUUUCCAAACGUGUCCAUGCCUAGAAGCUGGAGACCCCAUCCACACUGCAGUACCAGGGAUUCUUCCUGGGCAGUGUAUAGCAGGUAACCAUUUGUGUCCUGGAUGUCUGUCCACCCAAGAGGCCAUGACUUUGCAAAGGCAAGGCAAGGGCAGUGCUGGAUCUCCGGCUCUGCUUCCUCCUCAUCAUCCAAGGAGAGGUCCUGCCUGCCCUGGCUCCCUGGACAUGGGCUUCCAAUGGGCUAUCACAGCUAUUUCCAGGGUAGCAAAAUUCCUGGACUAGAUGUGGGGUGACUGCUGCUGAACAGAGGAAUGUUGGCAAAUCCUGCAGGGCCUACAGCCUCAUCCAGUUUGCAAGUGCUCUAUGGACAAACCCAGAUCCCCAUGCCCCGCCACUCCUCCCAAGGAGAUGUGUGAGUGUCCCCAAGAUCUGAACUGCACCAGAGGAGGAAUUCCUGGACCCAGCUAGUGCUUCCAGGAGGUGGGCUGGGUGAUACCUAAGUGACAGAGGGAAGUAAUAUGUGGCCCUACCCCCUCCCUAAAGUCUAGCAUUUGAAAUGUGUUAAAAGUGUGAUCUCUGACAAAUUAAUUUCUUUUCACUUCUAUUUUGUUAUCUGUAAUAUGAGGAUAAUAAUAGCAUUUUAUUCAUAAGGUAGUUAUAAAGAUUAAAUGUCAUUUCACUCCUACUAGGAUGGCUGUAAUUUAAAAAAAAGAAAAAUAACAAAUGUUGGUGAGGAUGUAGAGAAAUUAGAACCUUGGUGCAUUGCUGGCUGAAAAGUAAAAUGGUGCAUGGCUACCAAGAACAGUUUGGCAGUUAUUUAAAAAGUUAACCAUAAAGUUACCAUGUGAGGCAGCAAU
rnacentral:lncRNA from 1 species